UGGGGAAUAUUGCACAAUGGGCGCAAGCCUGAUGCAGCCAUGCCGCGUGUAUGAAGAAGGCCUUCGGGUUGUAAAGUACUUUCAGUCGGGAGGAAGGUGUCAAGGUUAAUAACCUUGGCAAUUGACGUUACCGACAGAAGAAGCACCGGCUAACUCCGUGCCAGCAGCCGCGGUAAUACGGAGGGUGCAAGCGUUAAUCGGAAUUGCUGGGCGUAAAGCGCACGCAGGCGGUUUGUUAAGUCAGAUGUGAAAUCCCCGGGCUCAACCUGGGAACUGCAUCUGAUACUGGCAAGCUUGGGUCUCGUAGAGGGGGGUAGAAUUCCAGGUGUAGCGGUGAGAUGCGUAGAGAUCUGGAGGAAUACCGGAGGCGAAGGCGGCCCCCUGGACGAAGACUGACGCUCAGGUGCGAAAGCGUGGGGAGCAAACAGG
rnacentral:rRNA from 1 species